rnacentral:rRNA from 1 species
UGUGUAGGCGGUCCCUUAAGUUUGGUGUGAAAUCUCCCGGCUCAACUGGGAGGGUGCGCCGAAUACUGAAGGACUAGAGUGCGGGAGAGGAGAGUGGAAUUCCUGGUGUAGCGGUGAAAUGCGUAGAUAUCAGGAGGAACACCGGUGGUGUAGACGGCUCUCUGGACCGUAACUGACGCUGAGACACGAAAGCGUGGGUAGCAAACAGGAUUAGAUACCCUGGUAGUCCACGCCCUAAACGAUGCAUAUUUGGUGUGGGCAGUCCAUUCUGUCCGUGCCGGAGCUAACGCGUUAAAUAUGCCGCCUGGGGAGUACAGUCGCAAGGCUGAA